GACGAACGCUGGCGGCGUGCUUAACACAUGCAAGUCGAACGGAAAGGCCCUGCUUUUGUGGGGUGCUCGAGUGGCGAACGGGUGAGUAACACGUGAGUAACCUGCCCUUGACUUUGGGAUAACUUCAGGAAACUGGGGCUAAUACCGGAUAGGAGCUCCUGCUGCAUGGUGGGGGUUGGAAAGUUUCGGCGGGUGGAGAUGGACUCGCGGCUGAUCAGCUCGUUGGUGGGGUAGUGGCUUACCAAGGCUUGGACGGGUAGCCGGCCUGAGAGGGUGACCGGCCACAUGGGGACUGAGAGACGGCCCAGACGCCUACGGGAGGCAGCAGUGGGGAAUAUUGCACAAUGGGCGGAAGCCUGAUGCAGCAACGCCGCGUGCGGGAUGACGGUCUUCGGGUUGUAAACCGCUUUCGCCUGUGACGAAGCGUGAGUGACGGUAAUGGGUAAAGAAGCACCGGCUAACUACGUG
rnacentral:rRNA from 1 species